rnacentral:rRNA from 1 species
GAUGAACGCUGGCGGCGUGCCUAAUACAUGCAAGUCGAGCGAACAGACGAGGAGCUUGCUCCUCUGACGUUAGCGGCGGACGGGUGAGUAACACGUGUAUAACCUACCUAUAAGACUGGGAUAACUUCGGGAAACCGGAGCUAAUACCGGAUAAUAUAUUGAACCGCAUGGUUCAAUAGUGAAAGACGGUUUUGCUGUCACUUAUAGAUGGAUCCGCGCCGCAUUAGCUAGUUGGUAAGGUAACGGCUUACCAAGGCAACGAUGCGUAGCCGACCUGAGAGGGUGAUCGGCCACACUGGAAGUGGGACACGGUCCAGACUACUACGGGAGGCAGCAGUAGGGAAUCUUCCGCAAUGGGCGAAAGCCUGACGGAGCAACGCCGCGUGAGUGAUGAAGGUCUUCGGAUCGUAAAACUCUGUUAUUAGGGAAGAACAAAUGUGUAAGUAACUAUGCACGUCUUGACGGUACCUAAUCAGAAAGCCACGGCUAACUACGUG